rnacentral:lncRNA from 1 species
UUUCUGCUACAAAAGAACUUUAUUCUAUGCUAAUACUGAUACAAAACUGGUCUUCAGUAUAAUAAAUAAUAAAUUUAAAAAUAUUCAACAACCAAUGAGUUCACGAAACAAAACUAAGACAUUGACUAGAUGCUUGAGUGAAUGGCUACUAAAAUAGCCUCUAAAUGGCUACAAAAAUAGCCUCUAAACACUGAUACAUUUAGUACACAAUUGCAUUUCAUCAAAUGAAUUGAGAAUUUGAGACUGCCAUUUCAGAUAUUAUGCUUUGUUUAUAAAAUGUGCAUAGUGAAGCUUAGAUGUGAAAAUAACAAUAAAUUAUAUAAACAUAUAUUAUCGAUAUUUUAAAGUUCAAAACAAUAUUUGUACUACUAUUAAUAUUAAAAAAAUGCAAAAUGGACAAAAAUAUGAUACUGAAUAAAAAUCAUGUAUAAAAUGUUUACUUUUGAUUGACAUUUGCUUCUUACAUGUGUAACUAAAAAAAAUACCGGCCAAUGGGUCCACGAUUCAUAACAUAUAUUUGAAAUUAUUGGUAAAAAUGUAAACUAAAACUAAGAUUGUUUGCAUGUUCGAUGUUGACUAACUGUAUCUAUUUUUUUGGCAUAGAAAAUAAAACGGUAUAUCACAGGUACGUACUUUGUACACACUAAAUUACAAAAAAAAAUAUCAACAAUUUGGCAACUUGACUGGCAGGAUUUAAUGUGUAAUGGUAUUAAAUCAUUGAAAACUUGACAACAGAGACUGAACUGUUACAUGUUUCAGGGAAAGAUGGCAUGAAGUUUUUUUUUUUUAUUUAUUUACAAAACACCAACACUUAUCAGAUAAGCUAUUAAUGUUUUUCAUUUCAGAGUUUAAGUGAACAAAAAGCUUGCACCAAAUGUCAAGGGAGAAAUUCUUAUCAAUUUGCAUACAUGUAUGACAUAUGUAACAAGAAAUUAUACAAAAUGUCUACAGAUUUUUGUAUUCUGACCCCAAAAAUAUUUUUUCUUUUACUUUUUUCUUUUUCUUCCAAAGUCUAAAAAUAACUUUUCAAAUAAUAAAUAUAUCCAGUACAUUAAAAACAAUGUGUUGUAAGAUGACUGCUUGCAUAAGGUUAUAUAAAAAAAUAUCGCUAUUUUAUUCUUUUUUUUUAAAUUAGAAAGCUAGCAAAUAUCGUCAGAAAUCAUGCUCCUUCAAACUAAUAUACUUUCUUUUGGAUAUUGAGGUAUUUGAAGUAAAAUUCAAUCUCUGUUGCCUUUCAAAAACUAGUCUACAUAUAUAUAAACAAAUAAUACUUUAAACAAUGAUAUUUGCAUCAUGGGAAACUUCUGCAUAAAUUGAUAAUUCAUAUCCCUGUAAAACAUAUAAAUAAAUUUUGCAUGCAUAUUAUAAAGAAUUAUUGCUUUGAUACACAUAAUUUAGCAUAGUUGCUAGAAUCUGAUUAAAAAUAUCUCUAUCUAUAUCUACAUUUUACUUGCAUAGGUUUAAAGUGAACUCUAGACA